rnacentral:rRNA from 1 species
CCUACGGGGCGCAGCAGUAGGGAAUAUUGCUCAAUGGGGGAAACCCUGAAGCAGCAACGCCGCGUGGAGGAUGAAGGUUUUCGGAUUGUAAACUCCUUUUGUUAGAGAAGAUAAUGACGGUAUCUAACGAAUAAGCACCGGCUAACUCCGUGCCAGCAGCCGCGGUAAUACGGAGGGUGCAAGCGUUACCCGGAAUCACUGGGCGUAAAGAGCGCGUAGGCGGGAUAGCAAGUCAGAUGUGAAAUCCUAGGGCUUAACCAUAGAACUGCAUUUGAAACUGUUAUUCUAGAGUAUGGGAGAGGUAGGUGGAAUUCUUGGUGUAGGGGUAAAAUCCGUAGAGAUCAAGAGGAAUACUCAUUGCGAAGGCGACCUGCUAGAACAUAACUGACGCUGAUGCGCGAAGGCGUGGGGAGCAAACAGGAUUAGAUACCCUAGUAGUC